UGGGGAAUCUUCCGCAAUGGACGAAAGUCUGACGGAGCAACGCCGCGUGAGUGAAGAAGGUUUUCGGAUCGUAAAACUCUGUCCUUUUGGGGCGAACGUGAGUAUGGUGAACAAUCAUAGUCAGUGACGGUACCAAAGGAGGAAGCCACGGCUAACUACGUGCCAGCAGCCGCGGUAAUACGUAGGUGGCAAGCGUUGUCCGGAAUUAUUGGGCGUAAAGAGCGCGUAGGCGGGAUAGUCAGUCUGUUGUAAAAGUGCGGGGCUCAACCCCGUGAUGGCAAUGGAAACAGCUAUUCUUGAGUGCAGGAGAGGAAAGUGGAAUUCCCAGUGUAGCGGUGAAAUGCGUAGAUAUUGGGAGGAACACCAGUGGCGAAGGCGACUUUCUGGACUGUGUCUGACGCUGAGGCGCGAAAGCCAGGGGAGCGAACGGGAUUAGAUACCCCGGUAGUCCUGGCCGUAAACGAUGGGUACUAGGUGUGGGGGGUAUCGACCCCUUCCGUGCCGGAGUUAACGCAAUAAGUACCCCGCCUGGGGAGUACGGUCGCAAGACUGAAACUCAAAGGAAUUGACGGGGGUCAUAGCUGUUUCCUG
rnacentral:rRNA from 1 species